GUCCGGUCCGUUCGUCGAGUCC
rnacentral:miRNA from 1 species